rnacentral:misc_RNA from 1 species
GAUGAAGAACGCAGUGAAAUGCGAUAAGUAAUGUGAAUUGCAGAAUUCAGUGAAUCAUCGAAUCUUUGAACGCACCUUGCGCUCCUUGGUAUUCCGAGGAGCAUGCCUGUUUGAGUGUCAUGAAAUUCUCAACCUUUUCAGCUUUCUUUGUUGAUCAGGCUUGGAUGUGGGAGUAUGCGGGCUUCUCAGAAGUCGGCUCUCCUGACAUGCAUUAGCGGGACCUUUGUUGCCUGGCUUUGGUGUGAUAAUUAUCUACGCCAUUGUAGUCAAGCAGCUUAAAAUGAGGUUUCAGCUUCUAACCGUCUCCCCUGAGACAACUUUUUGACAAUUUGACCUCAAAUCAGGUAGGACUACCCGCUGAACUUAAGCAUAUCAAUAAGCGGAGGA